rnacentral:rRNA from 1 species
UACGUAGGGGGCAAGCGUUGUCCGGAAUUAUUGGGCGUAAAGAGCUCGUAGGCGGUUUGUCGCGUCUGCUGUGAAAACCUAAGGCUCAACCUUGGGCUUGCAGUGGGUACGGGCAGACUAGAGUGCGGUAGGGGUGACUGGAAUUCCUGGUGUAGCGGUGGAAUGCGCAGAUAUCAGGAGGAACACCGAUGGCGAAGGCAGGUCACUGGGCCGCAACUGACGCUGAGGCGCGAAAGCGUGGGGAGCAAACAGG